AUUGAACGCUGGCGGCAUGCCUUACACAUGCAAGUCGAGCGGCAGCACGGGUGCUUGCACCUGGUGGCGAGUGGCGAACGGGUGAGUAAUACAUCGGAACGUACCUUAUCGUGGGGGAUAACGCAGCGAAAGUUGCGCUAAUACCGCAUACGCCCUGAGGGGGAAAGCGGGGGACCGUAAGGCCUCGCGCGAUUAGAGCGGCCGAUGUCUGAUUAGCUUGUUGGUGAGGUAAAAGCCCACCAAGGCGAUGAUCAGUAGCUGGUCUGAGAGGACGAUCAGCGACACUGGGACUGAGCCACGGCCCAGACUCCGAAGGGAGGCAGCAGUGGGGAAUUUUGGACAAUGGGGGCAACCCUGAUCCAGCAAUGCCGCGUGAGUGAAGAAGGCCUUCGGGUUGUAAAGCUCUUUUGUCAGGGAAGAAACAGCAGCUCUAACACAGUCUGCGAAUGACGGUACCUGAAGAAUAAGCACCGGCUAACUACGUGCCAGCAGCCGCAGUAA
rnacentral:rRNA from 1 species